UCAGAUUGAACGCUGGCGGCAUGCCUUACACAUGCAAGUCGAACGGUAACAGGUCUUCGGAUGCUGACGAGUGGCGAACGGGUGAGUAAUACAUCGGAACGUGCCCAGUCGUGGGGGAUAACUACGCGAAAGCGUAGCUAAUACCGCAUACGAUCUAUGGAUGAAAGCGGGGGAUCGCAAGACCUCGCGCGAUUGGAGCGGCCGAUGGCAGAUUAGGUAGUUGGUGGGGUAAAGGCUCACCAAGCCGACGAUCUGUAGCUGGUCUGAGAGGACGACCAGCCACACUGGGACUGAGACACGGCCCAGACUCCUACGGGAGGCAGCAGUGGGGAAUUUUGGACAAUGGGCGCAAGCCUGAUCCAGCCAUGCCGCGUGCAGGAUGAAGGCCUUCGGGUUGUAAACUGCUUUUGUACGGAACGAAAAGUCUCUUUCUAAUAAAGAGGGAUCAUGACGGUACCGUAAGAAUAAGCACCGGCUAACUACGUGCCAGCAGCCGCGGUAAUACGUAGGGUGCAAGCGUUAAUCGGAAUUACUGGGCGUAAAGCGUGCGCAGGCGGUGAUGUAAGACAGUUGUGAAAUCCCCGGGCUCAACCUGGGAACUGCAUCUGUGACUGCAUUGCUGGAGUGCGGCAGAGGGGGAUGGAAUUCCGCGUGUAGCAGUGAAAUGCGUAGAUAUGCGGAGGAACACCGAUGGCGAAGGCAAUCCCC
rnacentral:rRNA from 1 species